GACGAACGCUGGCGGCGUGCCUAAUACAUGCAAGUAGAACGCUGAAGGAGGAGCUUGCUUCUCUGGAUGAGUUGCGAACGGGUGAGUAACGCGUAGGUAACCUGCCUGGUAGCGGGGGAUAACUAUUGGAAACGAUAGCUAAUACCGCAUAACAGUAGAUAUCGCAUGAUAUCUACUUGAAAGGUGCAAUUGCAUCACUACCAGAUGGACCUGCGUUGUAUUAGCUAGUUGGUGAGGUAACGGCUCACCAAGGCGACGAUACAUAGCCGACCUGAGAGGGUGAUCGGCCACACUGGGACUGAGACACGGCCCAGACUCCUACGGGAGGCAGCAGUAGGGAAUCUUCGGCAAUGGACGGAAGUCUGACCGAGCAACGCCGCGUGAGUGAAGAAGGUUUUCGGAUCGUAAAGCUCUGUUGUAAGAGAAGAACAAGUGUGAGAGUGGAAAGUUCACACUGUGACGGUAUCUUACCAGAAAGGGACGGCUAACUACGUG
rnacentral:rRNA from 1 species